GGCUUCAUGGCUUAGUGGCAUAGCGAUACUUUUGUAAAGUAUAGGGUCAGGAGUUCAAUUCUCCUUGGAGCUU